CUUCCCCGGCACCUAACUUCCUUCCUCUCCUGACCACCACCUCAAAUCAUUAGAUUCACAUUUCAUACUUCCUAUCAUAAUCGAUUCUUUGUUCAAUUACGUUUGCUGAACUUUUAAGACUGGAAUAACCAAGUUAGGAUGCAUGCAUUGCUGGUAUAGCAAAGACAAGAUAGCUAGUAGAUGUACAAUAUAAUGUUUUUUGGACAAAGCACAGGACCAUUUAUUGAUAAAUUAUAAUCAAAUAG